ensembl:lncRNA
AUGACGGAUUCUGUUGUCGUGGAGGGAUAUGCCAGACUCCGAGAUGGAAAAAAGUGGAAAACUAGGUGGCUCGUCCUGCGCAAGCCGUCUCCUGUAGCAGGUAAAUACAAGAAAGAAAAUUACGAAUUUGCGCUCCUCUCGCUUUAUUCUCUGCGACGUUUUGCGCACAUUCGCCGCGCCGCUGAGGAGGAAAGCAGACUCUUCAAUCAGCGUGCGUCGUCCGCUCGCAGAGGCUCCGUGUUUACGAGCCCCGCUUCGUGUGGGCUGCACUGCAUUUAAAGUGCAAACGUUUGCCCUUAUUCCGUCGGUGAAGGCGCUUAAACGUGAAACGUGCGUUCGUCUGUGCAGUCGUUUGUAAUCUAGAAUCCUGCUCUGUGGCUCUCUUGUCUUUACUUCUUUCUUUUCUUUUCUUUCUGUAGCCUCACUGUUGAUAUGAUUGGUGCACGGAUUUCAUUCGGGCCUUCUGGAUGUCACACAUUCACCCGCUUCAAUUCCCCACCAAGCAUUUCUGCCUCUUUAGAGCGGAUUUGAGGCCUGCUGUGUAUUUGGACACGCGUUCAUGCUCUGUGUGACUCGCCUCCUGUUAUUUGGAGCAUGAGGUCAUCUCGGACCGACCUCGCCUCGGGCCUUUCUGUGCGUUUCCCAACAAGAGACGAGGAUUUGGGGAAAGUGGCGGCGUUGCGUUACGCAGAAAGGCUUCUUUGAAUAUGUGCUGCUGCACAGCUUCACACGCUUCACAGGUUGGACCCGAGGUCGAGUGCCGCUCCUCUUCACAUCUUUGAUGUCAGUGUUAUCACAGCUGUCUGCGCUCAAUGCCUCACCGGUGGAGGGUUAAGAAGUGUGUGUGUCUGUGUGUGAAGGAGUGAGGUACACACACACACACACACACACACAGUCUUGUUUUGUCAGUUGACACUGAUUGCUUGAAGGUGCCAAAAGACAACGGGACGCUACAACGGCUACUGUGUGUCGGGAUACUUUGUGUCAGUAUUUUACAAUGUGAUUAAUCACCGACUUCAUGGAUGGUGUUUCCAGUUAUUUUC